CUGGAACGCGCCCCAGGCGCACCCAGAAACCCUUUGUGAACUUAUACCUUACUGUUGCCUCGGCGCAUGCCGGCCCCCCUGGGGGCCCCUCCUUCUGGAGGAGCAGGCACGCCGGCGGCCAACCUAACUCUUGUUUUUACACUGAAACUCUGAGAAUAAAACAUAAAUGAAUCA
rnacentral:misc_RNA from 1 species